UUAGUUCACCGUACGGCGGCCUUUUAGCCAUUGCUUUGUCGAUUUGACUUCAAGUUGUCCCGUGUGUUUGUCCCGUGUGUUAUUAAAGGUCAAAUCGACGGCAUUUUGGUUAGAUCGACGCGUUGGCGUGUGAGUGGCUAAUUGAAUGUUUGUGUUGGCUGGCUCCCUGCUUUUUGCAGCGAACUGUCGGCGCAUACAUUUAUAUCAAUUGAGACGGAUUUGGGAAGUCGGAUUUUUGUGUUGCCAACCCAAUUAAUGGAAUCUUGAUGGCCCUGUUGCAUAACUUCGCUGAACACCCCUUGAGGUGCUAGGCGGACGUUGAAGCUACCCCUUUUUAUGCCAUGCCCUCCCUUUCUUGGGAACCAUGGAAAAUUGGCGGUGUUGCUUGUUGCCUCGGAUGUAGACCAUGAAGCGAGCAUGUUGUCUGUCCCCCCAUUGCUCACUAGAGCUCUUGAUUGCUCGGAAAGAGAGACCGUCGUGCUUUGUUUUGGCUGUCGACUUGUCGAUCUAGCUCUUAACUUUGACGACGUCUUCAAUGAAUGCUACCUGGUUGAUCCUGCCAGUAGUCAUAUGCUUGUCUCAAAGAUUAAGCCAUGCAUGUUGUAAGUAA
rnacentral:misc_RNA from 1 species